GUCGAGAAUAAUUCACAAUGGGGGAAACCCUGAUGGUGCAACGCCGCGUGGAGGAUGAAGGUCUUCGGAUUGUAAACUCCUGUCAUGCGUGAACAAGGUUGCUUGGUUAAUACCUGGGCAAAUUGAUGGUAACGCAAGAGGAAGAGACGGCUAACUCUGUGCCAGCAGCCGCGGUAAUACAGAGGUCUCAAGCGUUGUUCGGAAUCACUGGGCGUAAAGGGUGCGUAGGUGGCGUGGUAAGUCAGAUGUGAAAGCCCGGGGCUCAACCUCGGAACUGCAUCCGAUACUGCCAUGCUAGAGUACUGGAGAGGUGACUAGAAUUCUCGGUGUAGCAGUGAAAUGCGUAGAUAUCGAGAGGAAUACCAAAGGCGUAGGCAGGUCACUGGACAGUUACUGACACUGAGGCACGAAGGCCAGGGGAGCGAACGGGAUUAGAAACCCUGGUAGUCC
rnacentral:rRNA from 1 species